rnacentral:rRNA from 1 species
UACGUAGGGGGCGAGCGUUGUCCGGAUUCAUUGGGCGUAAAGAGCUCGUAGGCGGCUUGGCAAGUCGGGUGUGAAAACUCCAGGCUCAACCUGGAGACGCCACCCGAUACUGCCAUGGCUUGAGUCCGGUAGGGGACCACGUAAUUCCUGGUGUAGCGGUGAAAUGCGCAGAUAUCAGGAGGAACACCGGUGGCGAAGGCGGUGGUCUGGGCCGGUACUGACGCUGAGGAGCGAAAGCGUGGGGAGCGAACAGG